UAUAGUCUUGUCUUUGAUAGCAGCUCCACCCUUUCAAUUUUAUUAUGUGAAGAUGCCAAUAUCAGCUGAGUGCAGUGUUAACCUUGUUAGGCAAAUGUUUCACAUUACAGCAGGCUCACUCCUUCUGCUUUGUUCUGUGAGCUGGGCCAAUGUUAUUCAGCCUCCCAUCAUGGCUGUAUCUGCAGGAAUGAAUCUGACUCUGCCGUGUAGCCAUGAAUCCAUUACCCCUACUGGUUAUAUUCACUGGUAUAGACUGCACCCAGGUCAAGGCCCUCAGUCUGUAAUUAGUGGAUUUAAGGAUACUGUCUCUGGAUUCCACACAAUGACCUUCACUAAAGACAGAAAGUCUAGUGAGCUCCAUAUACAGAGCAUCAAACCGGAGGAUGGUGGAGUGUAUCUGUGUGCUCUGAGUGACACAGCAAUGCAGCCAAAUGUACUCUCUGUACAAUAUGUAUAUGCAGUGUAGCAAUGCUUUCAGAGGGUUCCACUCUUUUGCAGACAAAUCGUAUAAAACAGUGAGGCUAAAAAUGCUCCCUUAACAAAACAGGUUUUUAUUAUUUUAUAUAUCAGACACAUAUACCAAUAGAGUGUGGAAAAACUUUAAGCCACACUAUUGAAUCCUGUUGUCAUUAAAGGUCCCAAGUUUUACCUGUUUAAAUAAACUCAUAAGUAUUUGAGUUGUGUGUAUGUGUGUGUAUCUCAUAUUUACCUCUGAAUUUUUGUUUAUCCCACUAUUCAUUUUGGAAGUCCGAGGCAACUAGCCAUUUAUGAAUUUUGAUCUCGCGGCUGUUGUGUCAUCUCAUUAAAAUUACAUAUCUUGAUUUUGGCAUGAUGUUACUACAUCAUGGUUAGAAAACCAUUCAGGGUUCUGAAGUCAGUUGCUGAAAAUUGAAAGGGGAAACAAAAAUUCUUCAUUGGUUCAAUGAGAAGUUGUGGGGUAUUCAUGAACUAUAGGCAUAAAAGAUUCUGUGAAAUAAAUGUCUGCUGUUCUCAGAGUAAGGAUCUAUUGUAUUUCAUCCCUAUACUGAGCUUUUCCUUUGGUGCCACAUGUGCAAGGCAAAAUGACUCAACAAUAAUUUCAGGCAAAGUAAAGUAAUUAGGAUUUAUUUUAGGAUGCAUUUAGGAUUCAUUUUUUUACCAUGUGCAGAACACGUUACAGGAUAAAUUGUGACUUUGUGAUUUCACUGGUCCUCUAAAUAGAUGUGCGUGGGUAACAUUUUAGCACAUAUUGUCAUCCUAUUUGCAGUGACUCAAUAGUAAAUGGGCAAA